rnacentral:sRNA from 1 species
UGCACCUGGCAUCGAGCCGGGAAUCCC